UGAUGUUUCAGAGUGUGAAGUAGUG
rnacentral:piRNA from 1 species